GCUUCCCUCUUUCUUCGUGCUUAACACAUGCAAGUCGAACGGAAAGGCCCAAGCUUGCUUGGGUACUCGAGUGGCGAACGGGUGAGUAACACGUGGGUGAUCUGCCCUGCACUUCGGGAUAAGCCUGGGAAACUGGGUCUAAUACCGGAUAGGACCACGUCUUGGAUGUUGUGGUGGAAAGUUUUUUCGGUGUGGGAUGAGCUCGCGGCCUAUCAGCUUGUUGGUGGGGUAAUGGCCUACCAAGGCGUCGACGGGUAGCCGGCCUGAGAGGGUGUACGGCCACAUUGGGACUGAGAUACGGCCCAGACUCCUACGGGAGGCAGCAGUGGGGAAUAUUGCACAAUGGGCGCAAGCCUGAUGCAGCGACGCCGCGUGGGGGAUGACUGCCUUCGGGUUGUAAACUCCUUUCGCUAGGGACGAAGCGUUUUUGUGACGGUACCUGGAGAAGAAGCACCGGCUAACUACGUG
rnacentral:rRNA from 1 species